UACGAAGGGGGGCUAGCGUUGCUCGGAAUCACUGGGCGUAAAGCGCACGUAGGCGGCUUUUUAAGUCAGGGGUGAAAUCCUGGAGCUCAACUCCAGAACUGCCUUUGAUACUGAGAAGCUUGAGUCCGGGAGAGGUGAGUGGAACUGCGAGUGUAGAGGUGAAAUUCGUAGAUAUUCGCAAGAACACCAGUGGCGAAGGCGGCUCACUGGCCCGGUACUGACGCUGAGGCGCGAAAGCGUGGGGAGCAAACGGG
rnacentral:rRNA from 1 species